GACGAACGCUGGCGGCGUGCUUAACACAUGCAAGUCGAACGGAAAGGCCCUGCUUUUGUGGGGUGCUCGAGUGGCGAACGGGUGAGUAACACGUGAGUAACCUGCCCUUGACUUUGGGAUAACUUCAGGAAACUGGGGCUAAUACCGGAUAGGAGCUCCUGCUGCAUGGUGGGGGUUGGAAAGUUUCGGCGGUUGGGGAUGGACUCGCGGCUUAUCAGCUUGUUGGUGGGGUAGUGGCUUACCAAGGCUUUGACGGGUAGCCGGCCUGAGAGGGUGACCGGCCACAUUGGGACGGAGAUGCGGCCCAGACUCCUACGGGAGGCAGCAGUAGGGAAGAGUGCACAAUGGGAGGAAGCCUGAUGCAGCAACGCCGCGUGCGGGAUGACGGCCUUCGGGUUGUAAACCGCUUUCGCCUGUGACGAAGCGUGAGUGACGGUAAUGGGUAAAGAAGCACCGGCUAACUACGUG
rnacentral:rRNA from 1 species